UACGUAGGGUCCAAGCGUUAUCCGGAAUCACUGGGCGUAAAGAGCGUGUAGGCGGCCCGGUAAGUCCGCUGUGAAAGUCGGGGGCUCAACCCUCGAAUGCCGGUGGAUACUGUCGGGCUAGAGUGCGGAAGAGGCGAGUGGAAUUCCUGGUGUAGCGGUGAAAUGCGCAGAUAUCAGGAGGAACACCAAUUGCGAAGGCAGCUCGCUGGGACGUAACUGACGCUGAGACGCGAAAGCGUGGGGAGCAAACAGG
rnacentral:rRNA from 1 species